UUCUAGCCCGGAUGGCAGCGGAAAUCCUUUUUUUUUGGUGUUGGGAAAAGGUGUUGGCGAAAAAAGAUUGCAGCGGAUAGCCGGACUGAUU
rnacentral:sRNA from 1 species